AUUAAAUAAAAUUUUACAUAUAAAAUUUUUUGUAUAUUAAUAAUUUUUUAGAUAAAAAUUAUAAUAAAAUUUAUGUAUUUAUUAAUAGUAGUAAUUAGUAUUAUUAAUUUAAUUAAUGUUAAAUUGUAGUUAUUAUUUAAAAAUAAUGAUUAAAUUUGUGCCAGCAGUCGCGGUUACACAUUAUAUUAAAAUUUUAUAAAAUUAAAUUUAAAAUCUUAUUUAAAUUUUUUUAUUAAUAAAUCUAUAAUUUAUAGUAAAAUAUUAAUUAUUAUAAAAUCAAUAAAAUUUUAAUUUAUAAAUUUUUUAAAUUUACUUAAAAAACUAGGAUUAGAUACCCUAUUAUUUAAACUUAUAUAAUUUAACUAUUAAACAUUAAAUUCCUAAAAUUAAAAAAUUUGACGGUAUUUUAAAAAUUAGGGGAACUUGGAAUUUAAUUUGACAUCCCACAAUCAAUUAAACUUAAUUCAUAUAUUUAUAUAAUGCUGUAUACAAAUUUAAACUUAAGAUUUAAAUUUAAUAUUUUAUUUAAAAAUCAUUACAAGUCAAAUUAUAAUUUAUAAUUAAGUAUUAUUUAGUUACUUUAAAAUAUAACAUUAUAUUAAAAAUAAAAAAAUUUUUAUUAUAUAGAAUUUAAUAUUAAAUUUUAAAUAAUUAUUUAAAUUAAAUAUAACCCAAAAUAUGUACAAAUCGCCCGUCAUUCUUAAUUAAAUUAAGGUAAGUCGUAACAAAGUAAUAUUACUGGAAAGUGUUAUUAGAAUUUA
rnacentral:ncRNA from 1 species